rnacentral:misc_RNA from 1 species
GAUGAAGAACGUAGCGAAAUGCGAUAAGUAGUGUGAAUUGCAGAAUUCAGUGAAUCAUCGAAUCUUUGAACGCACAUUGCGCCCUUUGGUAUUCCUUAGGGCAUGCCUGUUCGAGCGUCAUUUCAACCCUCAAGCACUGCUUGGCGUUGGCGGAUUGCGAGCCCUCGCGGCGCUGCAACCGCCCAAAUACAGUGGCGGUCCCGCUGCGGCUCCCUUUGCGUAGUAACUCACCUCGCACUGGACCGGGCGGCGGCCUGCCGUAAAACCCCAACUCACGAAAUGUUGACCUCGGAUCAGGUAGGAAUACCCGCUGAACUUAAGCAUAUCAAUAAGCGGAGGA